rnacentral:rRNA from 1 species
UACGUAGGCAGCGAGCGUUGUUCGGAGUUACUGGGCGUAAAGCGUGCGUAGGCGGUUUUGUAAGUUUGGUGUGAAAUCUCCCGGCUCAACUGGGAGGGUGCGCCGAAAACUGCAAGGCUGGAGUGUGGGAGAGGUAGGCGGAAUUCCUGGUGUAGAGGUGAAAUUCGUAGAUAUCAGGAGGAACACCAGUGGCGAAGGCGGCUUCCUGGACACCAACUGACGCUGAGACGCGAAAGCGUGGGGAGCAAACAGG